rnacentral:rRNA from 1 species
CACGUAGGGGACGAGCGUUGUCCGGAAUCAUUGGGCGUAAAGCGCGCGUAGGCGGCCCGGUAAGUCCGUUGUGAAAGUCAAAGGCUCAACCUUUGAACGCCGAUGGAUACUGCCGGGCUAGAGUCCGGAAGAGGCGAGUGGAAUUCCUGGUGUAGCGGUGGAAUGCGCAGAUAUCGGGAGGAACACCAAUGGCGAAGGCAGCUCGCUGGGACGGUACUGACGCUGAGACGCGAAAGCGUGGGGAGCAAACAGGG